GGAUCAUUAGCUGACCAGGAAUAAGGCCUCAGCCUCCUAAGCUGGGGAUUGUGGGUUCGUGUCCCAUCUGGGCUG
rnacentral:tRNA from 1 species